GAAGGUAUAAUUCAGUGGUAGAGCAUAUGCUUAGCAUGCACGAGGUCCUGGGUUCAAUCCCUAGUAUCUCCA
rnacentral:tRNA from 1 species